rnacentral:rRNA from 1 species
UUUCCUCAGUAGUGGCGAAUGAAGCGGGAAAAGCUCAAGUUUGAAAUCUGGGACUUGUCUCAGAGUUGUAAGCUGAAGAAGUGUCGACCGACAUGGUCUGGGUCCAAUUUCUUUGGAACAAGAUGUCAGGGAGGGUGAGAACCCCGUCUGUGGCUCGGAUACCAUUGUCCUUGUGUCGUAUCUUCGAAGAGUCGGGUUGUUUGGGAAUGCAGCUCAAAAUGGGUGGUAAAUUUCAUCUAAGGCUAAAUAUUGGCGAGAGACCGAUAGCAAACAAGUAGAGUGAUCGAAAGAUGAAAAGUACUUUGAGAAGAGAGUGAAACAGUAUGUGAAAUUGUUGAAAGGGAAGCGUUUGGCAUCAGCCCUUGGCGGCCGUCGAACAUCGGGGCUCUGGCCCCGUGCACUCGACGGCCGUUGGGCCAGCGUCGGCUCUGCCCGCCGGAGAAAGGCCCUGGGGAAGUGGCUCCUCCGGGAGCGUUAUAACCCUGGGCGUCAUGCGGCUGGGCGGGGCCGAGGUCCGCGGAUCAAUCCUAGGACGCUGGCGUAAUGGUUCCGAGCGACCCGUCUUGAAACACGGACCAAGGAGUCUAACAUCUAUGCGAGUGUU